AGAGUUUGAUCAUGGCUCAGGACGAACGCUGGCGGCGUGCCUAAUGCAUGCAAGUCGCACGCGCCACCUUCGGGUGGUGAGUGGCGCACGGCUGAGGAUCACGUGGGAACAUGCCUCCUUGUGGGGGACAACAGCGCGAAAGCGCUGCUAAUCCCGCAUACGCUCGUGACUAACGAGGAAGGCGUGCAAACGCGCAGGGAGAGUGGCCCGCGGCCCAUCAGGUCGUUGGUGGGGUAAUGGCCUACCAAGCCUGUGACGGGUAGCUGGUCUGUGAGGACAGACAGCCAGACUGGGACUGAGACACGGCCCAGACUCCUACGGGAGGCAGCAGCAAGGAAUUUUCGUCAAUGGGCUCACGCCUGAACGAGCAACGCCGCGUGGAGGAUGACGGCCUUCGGGUUGUAAACUCCUUUUUCGGGGGACGAUGAUGACGGUACCCCGGGAAUAAGGCUCGGCUAACUCUGUGCCAGCCGCCGCGGUAAUUC
rnacentral:rRNA from 1 species